rnacentral:lncRNA from 1 species
CAAUGAUUGAGUCAGUCAUGUGUAUGUAAUAAGGCCUCCAUAAAAACCGAAGAGGAUGGGGUUUGCAGAGCUUCUAGGCUGGUGAGCACUUGGAUGUGCUGGAGGCAUCCAGAGGGUGGAGCACGUGGAGAGGGCAUGAAUGCUCAGUGCACCUUCCCUCAUACCUUGCCUUAUACAGCGUUUCCAUCUGGCUGCUGUUGAGUUUUAUUCUUUAUAACAAUAUGCUAACCCUAAGCAAAGUUUUCCUGAGUUCUGUGAGCCAUUCUAGCAAAUGGUGGAACCUGAGAAAGGGGACAUGGGAAUCUCUGACUUACAGCCAGUCAGCCCGAAGCACAGGAUACCAAAAUCAUCAUACCAGAGACAUGAAUCUCCCUCAUUUGGCAUCCCAGGAGGCCUGGAUCAGUUUCACUGUGAAUGCUCCGCCGCUCAACCACACAAGCACCCUUCCUCCAGGCCCAGGGGAUACUGCAGAAGAGGCUGAAGGUUGCACUAUUGGCUUCCCUACUUUUGAGGUUUUGGGACUCCGACUGGCUUCCUGGCUCCUCACCUUGCAGAUGGUCUAUUGUGGGACCUCAUCUUGUGAUCAUGUCUCAGUAUGUUGCUCAGACUGGUCUUGAACUCCUGGCCUCAAGUGAUCCUCCCACCUCAGCCUCUUGAGUAGCUGGGACUACAGUUGCAAGCCAUCCUGUCUGGCUAGUUAUCUUUAAUUAAUGACAUUUGUUAAAGUAACACAAAAAUCCUAGAAACAUUUGCCUGUUGAAACUUUCUGAUAAUUUGAAUGAAGUAAAGUUUGGAGUCUCUGUCUCAUUGAAAAUACUCAAGGUUAAUAUAAUAAAAACAGCAAAGCAGUAA